AGCGCGCCGCCCGCCCCGCCCCGCCCCACCGCCCGACGGGCUCCCGGCCCGCGCUCCCCGGGGCUGCCUCGCACGCUGGGCAGUCGGUGUCACGGAACCGGCGUGUGAGGUCCUUCGGGCGGGCAGCUCCUCGUUGCUGGACGAAGGGGCUCGUGUACCAGCCGUGAGGAAACAGCUAAAGGGAGGGCGAGGCGCGUGAAGGGCUUGUAAACAUAGCGAGCUGUUUACGAAUACCUGUCACCAGAAGCACGACGGGAGUGAUUUCAACCAAUCGCAAGCUGUGUGCUUGCCUACACCUUUACAGGCCUUUUGGGAGGGGCUGGGAAAAGCUGCUCUGGGCACGAAUGAUAAGCCAUGCGAAACUCUAAGGAGGAAGGAGUCUCACAAUAACUGCUGUUCUAAGCUGGUACUGCUCUUUCCUCAGGUAUACGCACUGCCAAUAGUGACAGAAGAACACCAAGAUCUGCACUUCAUCACACCAGAGACUGUGGCUGCUCUGCUCUCUGGGCAGUUUCAAAGCCUGAUUGAUAAGUUCUACAUCCUUGACUGCCACUAUCCCUGAACUCUGUGAACCCCAGAGCUAUUGUCCAAUGCAACAUCAAGACUUCAAAGCAGAGUUGCUGAAAUUCCACACCACAAGCAAGUCAUAGACUUUGUAGUGAAGGAAGCGGGACCAGAUCACUCGCCUCAUGAAACUGUGAGCACCAAAGCAAUAGCUGGAGUGGAAGCUGCUUAAGAGAGUUCUGCCUUCCAGAGCAAAGUUUUCUUCCCUGAAGACAACUAGACUGUGAUGGUGAAAGAAAGAGAACCUUCCUUGUUCUACUGACAGGGCUGGGACAAAUUAGGAAGUCUGUUUAAAAAGUCUCAGUGCUGCCUCUGUGGGACACUGGCUGAGUAUAAAGCCUCAAAUAAAACAGUACCAUAGCUGCUUAGGGAAAAGAACAGGCUUUCUUCAAUAAAGACUAAGCCAGCUUUCAGGUUGUCUUGUCUAAAGCCUGCAAGGUAGUGUAUGUCAUCAGUUGAGCUCAGCUCUCCUGCUUCAGACAGGACUGCCCGUGUUUCUUUUUAAUACUACACACUGCUGUGGAUUUUGUUGUUAGUUGUCACUUCUCACUGGUAAAAUAAGGAACUGGAGCAGACUGAAGUGUAUGAGAACUGGACCUUCUUUCCUGUGGCAAUUAAAAAAGCUAGGCAUGCAGGUGCUAAUGGAUAUCUAAAAUGAUUUCUCAGCCCAUCAGUAGCCAGGAUCAGGUAUGCCCAGCAAAUAAGUCUCCAACAACUGCUUUUAUAAGGAUCAACAGUGAGAACUGGAAAAAUACUAAUUUCUUUAUCAUGUCUGUUAAGCCCUUAUUGACAUGGUCUUCCCAACCUGUGGCUAUUAAACCACAAAAACAAAUUUUUUUUGAGUACUGGCUCAGUGUAAUUGGAUUGUUGGCAUCUCUGUUUAGAUUCUUUGUGGUGGGGAUGACAAGUCUGAAACUAUUAUCUUUAAGUAUAUUUAAAUAGCACCAGCCAGCAGAUGAGGUUAGUGAAAGCAGCUAUCUGUAAGGGAAGUCUGUUCAAAUUCUAUUUUUGGGAUGUUUUUCCAGCCUCCUGUGCUGCAGCUGAGAGUGGCUGUUUUCAGAGACAGACAAGGACUAGGUGGAACUCUAUCCUGUGUCUUUCUGCCACUCCAAAAGUUUGGCAUGGUCUCCAAGACUGUAUCUAAUAAGAAAGAUCAGACUAAGCUUUCUUACCCCUCAAAUUAGAAAAUUACCAAGAUAAAGAAACACUAAUGUUAAUUGUAUCAUACACAAUGAGCUUGUAUGUUCUGUUUUACAGCUAACGUGUUGCCACAGAGCUCUUGACAAAUAAAAAAAAGAAAUUAAAUAUGGGUGGUGAUAGUAGACAGGGUGGGGGAGGGAAUAUUGCUUUUUCAAAUUCUGUUAGAAUCACAGAAUCAUCUAGGUUGGAAGAGACCUCCAAGAUCACCUAGUCCAACUUCUGACCUAACACUAACAAGUCCUCCACUAAACCAAAGUUAGGUGCCAGAAUAAACCAAAUUGUAAUC